UGAGUAACCUGCCCUUAACUCUGGGAUAAGCCUGGGAAACUGGGUCCAAUACCGGAUAUGACUCCUCAUCGCAUGGUGGGGGGUGGAAAGCUUUUUUGUGGUUUUGGAUGGACUCGCGGCCUAUCAGCUUGUUGGUGAGGUAAUGGCUCACCAAGGCGACGACGGGUAGCCGGCCUGAGAGGGUGACCGGCCACACUGGGACUGAGACACGGCCCAGACUCCUACGGGAGGCAG
rnacentral:rRNA from 1 species